CUUUCCUGUUCACAUUGUCCAGGUUCAGCAAAAAUCCAUUAAGUCUCUGCAGAAGUUUCAGCUUGGAGAAAGUCAGCCUUCCCUGAAUAUAGAGAUAAACCAAUAGAGUCCCAAGGAGUCAAUCUUCAUUUUGUAUGUGGUCCAACAUUCCUCUCUAAUCCUUUAUAAAAACAUGGUGGAGGGGCGAGUGAGGGUUAAUUUUAAUAGUUAACAUGACUGGAUUAAGGAAUAUAGAGAGAACUGGUAAAGUAUCACUGAUCAGUGGGUCGUGAGGGUGUUUCCAGAGGAGACUGGUGUGUGAGUCAGUGGAUCAUGUGGGGAAGACCCACCCUCAAUGUGGGAGAGCAUCAUUCAAGCAGCUGUGGACUAGGAUAAAACAAAAAUAGAGAGAAAAGGGUUUCCUUUUGUUCUCUCCUGGAGCUGGGACACUCUUCAUCUCCUGAACUUUGGACAUUAGAAUUCCAUUCUCCCUGGCCUUGAGACUCUGAGACUUACACAAGCAGCCCCACCCAGGUUCUCAGGCCUUCGGACUCACAUUGAGAAUUACACCAUCAGCUUCCCUGGUUCUGAUUCUUUAGAACUUGGACUGAGCCACGCUACUAUCAUCCCAGGGUCUCCAGCUUACAAGUGUCCUGCCAUGGGACUUCUCAGCCUCCAUAAUCAUCUGUCACAUUGAAGAAAAGUUGGACUAUGCCACAGCUGGAUUGGGACCAAAUGCACGUCGACGGAGAUACAGUCCUUAACUACAAAUAAAAUAGAUGAUACCAAAGCGGCCAACGAGUUUAAAACUCUUUUUGCGCAGUAGGAAUGACUCCAUGAAGAUUUCUCAUCAUGGAGCCCAGACUAGAUGGACCCAAAUCUCCAGACUCCCAGCUCUUCUGUAAACCCCAUCCUGAUUCUCUGAGUCUCUGAAUCUUUUAUCCUCAUUUUCUUCCCAACUGUCCAUAAUGUAGAAUUUAAAUAAAAGAUUAAAUGUAAUCUUUAUAACAUUAUUAUAUUAUUGAACAGUUUCAGGUUUCUUGUUCUUAUUUACAAAAAACUAAUAAGUAGAAAUUUUAUACUUCUCUGAGCAUAAAACUAUACAAAAUAAAAAUUAUAUAAAAUUAAUUUGAUUUUCACUUAUGAGGUCUAUAAUUAUUCCCUUCAUGGUUAAUUAUCCUCAAUAGGAAACAAAUGGUUUCCUACCUUCUUACUAAGUUACAAAACUCUCAUUUAUUAAUAAUCAUUUAUAUUAAUAAUAAUUACUAAAUUGAAUAUGCCAGCUCUUACCAGAUUUAUGCUAGACUUUAAUAAGUCCCUCUCUUCCCAGAAGCAGGAACAAAGUAGAGAUGCAUCAAAUGAGCUAAAUCUAAUCUAAUUUUCCUUAUUGAGACUGGUUCUUAGGACCCUUCUUUCAUACUCUGGAAACUGGGACACACUUGUAAAUAUUAAGU
rnacentral:lncRNA from 10 species